rnacentral:sRNA from 1 species
AUGCUCAGCCGCGAUGGCUGGGGCUGCCGGCCGCGUCGGAGGUCGCGCCCUGCGGCGGUUUCCCAUCGCCCUGCCUGUGGGCGACGUGAGUAUCUGCGAGGGUAGAAGCCAGACUCCCCCACGUUUAGGUACCUUCCUCGCCCCUACUCCUGGGUAGAGGAAUAACAAUAUUUCUCGAGGCUUCAGCCCAAGGUCUUAGCCUUGUGAUCUAGAAUCCUCCAUCUGUGAGUUGAGCAACUUGCAUCUUAAGGAAGAGAAAAUCAAACCAGAUGCCAAUGGUGCUGUUGUCAAGACCAAUGCCAAUGCAGAGACGACAGAUGAAGAAGAGAAAGAGGACAGAGCUGCCCAGUCCUUACUCAACAAACUGAUCAGAAGCAACCUUGUUGAUAACACAAACCAAGUGGAAGUCCUGCAGCGGGAUCCAAACUCCCCUCUGUACUCGGUGAAGUCUUUUGAAGAGCUUCGGCUGAAACCACAGCUUCUCCAAGG